rnacentral:misc_RNA from 1 species
AAAAAAAAAAAAAAAAACUACUUUAGCACACUGGAGCUCAUUAAUAAGCGGGCUAUAGACUUGCAGCAUUGUGAAUAUAAUCAAAUAAGAAUUACAAAUGAACUGAACUAUCUCCCAAAAGAAAAAUAUUAUAACUAGAAAACAGUAAUCUUUUCACCAGUUUAUGGAACAUAAAUGUCGUUGAGUUCCAGAAAAAUUUACGGUGAACAAAAUUAAUAAUCUGAUAUUUUUCAUUCCAAAAAUAAAAAAUGAAAAACUCAAAGAAUAGUUGACCAUAUUGAUACAGAUUCACAGUUAAGGUCAGUUAAACCAUUUCGUCUCCUCAAAAAAAAUAAAAUAAUGAAUUCAAAUCAAUAAACUGAAUUACAAAUUUCCUCAGAAACCAAACAACAAAAAAGAAAAUCACUGAAUAGCAAAACUAAGCAAAAGAUAAAACAGAAGACUAAAAGGAAAGUGAGGGAAAAAAGGGGGAACUUUACACCAAAACAUAAAACAACAAUUAUUAACGGAGAUGUUUGAUCAUUAAAAAGAAAAAAAAAAAG